rnacentral:rRNA from 1 species
AACGAACGCCGGCGGCAGGCUUAACACAUGCAAGUCGAGCGCCCCGCAAGGGGAGCGGCAGACGGGUGCGUAACGCGUGGGAACAUACCCUUUGGUUCGGAAUAACUCAGGGAAACUUGAGCUAAUACCGGAUAAGCCCUUCGGGGGAAAGAUUUAUCGCCAUAGGAUUGGCCCGCGUCUGAUUAGCUAGUUGGUGAGGUAACGGCUCACCAAGGCGACGAUCAGUAGCUGGUCUGAGAGGAUGAUCAGCCACACUGGGACUGAGACACGGCCCAGACUCCUACGGGAGGCAGCAGUGGGGAAUAUUGGACAAUGGGCGCAAGCCUGAUCCAGCCAUGCCGCGUGAGUGACGACGGCCUUAGGGUUGUAAAGCUCUUUCGCUAGGGACGAUAAUGACGGUACCUAGAUAAGAAGCCCCGGCUAACUUCGUGCCAGCAGCCGCAGUAA